UUUUGCCUUUCCUAUUUGUAUUGACCAAGAAAGCAUAUUGUCCUUUGUAGCUGGAAAGUGUCAUCAAAUAAAAAUAAAAAGCUAAUCAUUAUUGAUUAUAUAUUUUAGGUUUUCAAUCUAAAUUCUUCUGACACAGCAGAUACUGAUGUUAAGAUUGUGAAAGAUAUAAACACGUUAAAAUACCAGAAAGUCACAAUUUUGAUUGGCAAUGGAUUGUCUUCGAUGGUCCAGUGGAUGCCUUGUGGGUAGAAAAUCUAAACUCUGUGCUAGAUGACACGAGAAUGCUGUGCCUGGCAAACAGUGAGAGAAUAGCUUUAACUAACAGAAUCAGAGUGAUUUUUGAGGUGGACAAUCUCUCUCAGGCCAGUCCUGCUACAGUCAGCCGAUGUGCAAUGGUGUACAUGGAUCCUGUUGAUCUGGGAUGGGAGCCUUAUGUUAAGUCAUGGCUUUUGAAAACUUCCAAAGUUGUCAAUCAAUCAGGAGUGAGUUGUCUUGAAUUUAUGAUUAAUGAAAGUGUCACACAUGGGCUCCAAUUUAUAAAGAAGCAUCAGAAAUUUCAGCUGAUUCCCGUACAGGACCUGACAAUCGUCACAACCCUCUGCAGGAUUCUUGACGCUUUCUUCGAUUUGAUGAGUAAAAAUGAAAGAUUUGGAGAAAGUGAGUUUUUAAAGUCAUGUUAAUGGUAUAUCAUAGCUAGUCAGUGGUAAUGUAGCACCUGGUAUUGAAUUUUAUAAAAGGAAAUAGAAAAAGGAAGGCCAAGAAUUUUCAGUCUAUUUGGCCGAAUGGCAAAUAUGCACAUGGAACAACUGAAAACAACUUAUCAGUAAGAGUGAACUAUUAUCAUACAUACGUGCUGAAGGGUCAUCAGGAAAACAAGGGUAAAGAAUCCUUAGGGAUGUGGAAGUGGUGGCUCCUUCACAUCUCCGUUUAGGUUGCCAGCUUGAGGCCUGCAAAAAGAUUUCUGUUGAGCUCUUUUACAGGACGUCUGUCUCUCUGCUGAAUUUCUCAUUCAUAGCAUGGCAUUGUUUUCCUAAUUUCACUGAACUUCUUGUGUUCUUUUGUAGCUCUUUGAGUGUCCUUCUAAUCAUCCUUAGGGAUUCUUGAUUGGGCAUUUCGUCAGUCUCCUUCUCUUUGGAGCCUGUUACUAAAGUGUUCCUGUGCCCCCUCGGAGGCAUCUUAUUAUCUUGCUUUUUCAUCCUUCUUCUGUUCCUUCUUUGAGAGCUGUGCAUCAGGCAUAUCGGUUACCUCUGGCACUUUUGAAGGGUGGCUUUUGUUGUAAAAGGCUUCGUCUUUGAGUGUCAGCUUGGUGGGCUAAUUUGUCUUCAGUCCCAGUUGGGCACUAUAGUGUAGGCUCUGUCUUCUGUUGUAACUCAUGGCGGGAGCAUGGACACUCUUCUCGGUCCCACCAGUGGUGUGCAGGUCCAGGUGGUGGCUUGAGGGGCAGAACUAGGGUUCUGGACGUUCCAGUCCUCAGUGACUGGGGUCAUGGGAGUACUGGCCCGGCUUCCUGGAGGGGUCACACUGGCUUCCUGGUGCCAGGGGCAUGGCUGGAGUCAGAGUAGAACCCUGCUGCAAUCCAGCAUGAGUGUGGGGCACUGAUAGACAUUUGUCCCAACGGUUAAAUCAGAGUGCUUGCUUCACAUCCCAGCUCCUCCACUUCCCAUCCAGCUUCCUGCUAAUGUGAGCAGCAGAUGAUGGCUCAAGUACUUGGGUCCCUGCCAGCAAUGUGGGAGACUAAGAUUGAGUUCCCGAUGCCUAGCUUUAGCACGGCCUCUCCCUGGUGGUUGUGGACAUACAGGAAGUGAACCAGCAGAUGGAAGAUCAUUCUCUCUGUCUCUCUCUUUCUACCUUUAAUAAUUCCCUCUUUUUUUCCAACUUUUAUUUAAUAAAUAUAAAUUUCCAAAGUACAAUUUUUGGAUUAAUAAUUCCCUCUUAAAGUGCAGUUCAGCAGGGAUGUGGUUGGAGUGUGUGGUACCCAGUGGGGUGUACUGCUCCAGUGCCAGGGAGCAGGGGCCACCAGGGAUGUCCACACCCCCAGGGACAAGCGUCCCCGCUUCUGAGGCCCUGGGGGGCAGGAUCCCCACCUGCUGUGCUGAACCACCAGUUCCUGUAGAGCAGGGCACUGCUGGGGCUAGGGUGCUGGCUCUUGCUGCUGGAUCUCCUUGGGUUCCUGAGGACGCUGGUGUGGCAGAAUAGCUGUGGGACCCCAGGGGAUGGAGAGGAGCUUGUGUCCCUGCGGGACACAUGCAUUCCUGCUGCAGUCUGUUCUCCAGGGGUAGGGGGAAGACAUGAGUUCCUUCUUUGAGGCCAGGCCUCUGUGCUACUGAAGGUAGCACCCCUUACUGGGCUCCAGGUCUGUGACAACUCCUGUGGCUGGGACUGCCAGCACCCAGUCUCUGCAAGUGGGAGAUGGGGCCAGCUGGGGAUCUCCCCUUUAUCCUUUGCCUACAAUGGGGACGGCCUCCUGUCACGUGUAAGACAGGUGCUUGGUUAUCAGUGGGCUGUGUUCCUCUCUCUCUGCUGCCAUCCCCGGUCUCCAAGUCCUCCUGGAUCCCCAUGUCUUCCUGGCUGAGUGUCAAUGUUCUCCCUGGCGCAGUCACCUUGAAACGCAGUUAUUCACUUGUUACUUUGGUUCUUCUCUGUGAAGAAGAUGGGUGUGCAUGGAGGUGUGUAUGCCUGUCUAAUUGGCCAUCUGGGAGCCCUCCCUCACACAGAUAGGCUAAUGUCUCCCGAGCUACCUUAACAACAGUGCUUGGAUUCUAGUCCCAGCUCAGGCUCCCAAAUCUCAUGCAGAUGCAAACCCUGGGAGGCAGCAGAUGAUGACUCAAGUAAUUGCACAUAUGCGGGGUAAUAUUUCACACAUAUAUGAAAUAAUUGCCUAUAAGUAGGAUUGUUAAUCAACAUAAACUGGCAUAUGAUUUAUCAUUUCUGUAGGUAUUGAGAGUCUAUAUCUUCAUGCUUAGCCAAAGGUAUCAAACUUUAUUUCAUAGGGGACCUGGAUUGAAUUCCCACCUCCCAGCUUCUGCAGCCUAGCCCGGGUCAUUGCAGACACUGGGGAGUGACCCAGUGUCUGUCUCCUUUUCAAAUAUAUUUUUUUAUAAAGGAAGAAAAGAAUGAAUAAAAG